rnacentral:rRNA from 1 species
AAAUUGAAGAGUUUGAUCAUGGCUCAGAUUGAACGCUGGCGGCAGGCCUAACACAUGCAAGUCGAACGGUAGCACAGAGAGCUUGCUCUCGGGUGACGAGUGGCGGACGGGUGAGUAAUGUCUGGGAAACUGCCCGAUGGAGGGGGAUAACUACUGGAAACGGUAGCUAAUACCGCAUAACGUCGCAAGACCAAAGUGGGGGACCUUCGGGCCUCACACCAUCGGAUGUGCCCAGAUGGGAUUAGCUAGUAGGUGGGGUAACGGCUCACCUAGGCGACGAUCCCUAGCUGGUCUGAGAGGAUGACCAGCCACACUGGAACUGAGACACGGUCCAGACUCCUACGGGAGGCAGCAGUGGGGAAUAUUGCACAAUGGGCGCAAGCCUGAUGCAGCCAUGCCGCGUGUAUGAAGAAGGCCUUCGGGUUGUAAAGUACUUUCAGCGAGGAGGAAGGCGUUGUGGUUAAUAACCACAGCGAUUGACGUUACUCGCAGAAGAAGCACCGGCUAACUCCGUGCCAGCAGCCGCGGUAAUACGGAGGGUGCAAGCGUUAAUCGGAAUUACUGGGCGUAAAGCGCACGCAGGCGGUUUGUUAAGUCAGAUGUGAAAUCCCCGGGCUCAACCUGGGAACUGCAUUUGAAACUGGCAAGCUUGAGUCUCGUAGAGGGGGGUAGAAUUCCAGGUGUAGCGGUGAAAUGCGUAGAGAUCUGGAGGAAUACCGGUGGCGAAGGCGGCCCCCUGGACAAAGAC